rnacentral:rRNA from 1 species
GAGUUUGAUCUUGGCUCAGAUUGAACGCUGGCGGCAGGCCUAACACAUGCAAGUCGAGCGGUAGAGAGAAGCUUGCUUCUCUUGAGAGCGGCGGACGGGUGAGUAAUGCCUAGGAAUCUGCCUGGUAGUGGGGGAUAACGCUCGGAAACGGACGCUAAUACCGCAUACGUCCUACGGGAGAAAGCAGGGGACCUUCGGGCCUUGCGCUAUCAGAUGAGCCUAGGUCGGAUUAGCUAGUUGGUGAGGUAAUGGCUCACCAAGGCGACGAUCCGUAACUGGUCUGAGAGGAUGAUCAGUCACACUGGAACUGAGACACGGUCCAGACUCCUACGGGAGGCAGCAGUGGGGAAUAUUGGACAAUGGGCGAAAGCCUGAUCCAGCCAUGCCGCGUGUGUGAAGAAGGUCUUCGGAUUGUAAAGCACUUUAAGUUGGGAGAAGGGCAGUAAAUUAAUACUUUG